GAUCUGAACCACAUCUGUGACCUAUGCCGCAGCUUGCAGCAACACCAGAUCCUUAACUGACUGAGGAGGCCAAGAAUCGAACUCCCAUCCUCAUGGAGACUACAUUGGGUCCUUAACCUGCUGAGCCGCAACAGGAACUCCUAAGUGUUCUAGCUAUCCAAAUGAGAGGCUUUGGGAUGAGAACCUGCCCUAACUAUGGAACUAGUGAAAUGCAGAAAAACAGUCACAAGAAUGCCUUGAACAAAAAGAUGGGAAAUGUGUCAGCUAUCCUUUGAUUAACCUAGGAAGGCUACCAGGAAGAAAAGUUAUUUACUUGAUAUUUGAGGAAUAUUAAUGUUGUCAUCAGGACAUGUUGGAGGAGAUUGGCUCUGGCUGCUACAAGAUGCUCAAGGAGAAGAUUUCUGACUAGAGACUCCUGAUUGCCAAGUCUCUGAGGAAGGCAUGAAGGGGUUUACAACAUUUGUAGUGUCAAGGGCCCUAUUGACAGUCUAGUGGCACCUAUGGAACCCUUCCUAAGAAUGAUGUUCCUUCAACCAUAAAAAAGAACAAAAGAAUGCCAUUUGCAGCCACAUGGAUGGAACUAGAGACUCUCUUACUAAGUGAAGUAAGUCAGAAAGAGAAAGACAAAUACCAUAUGAUACCACUUAUAUCUGGAAUCUAAAACAUGGUGCAAAGGAACCUUUCCACAGAAAAGAAAAACAUGGACUUGGAGAACAGACUUGUGGGAGGGGGAGGGAGUAGGAUGGACUGGGAGUUUGGGGUUAAUAGCUGCAAGCUAUUGCCUUUGGAAUGGAUAAGCAAUGAGAUCCUGCUGUAUAACACUGGGAACUAUAUCUAGUCACUUACGAUGGAGCAUGAUAAUGUGAGAAAAAAGAAUAUAUAUAUGCAUGUGUAACUGGGUCACCUUGCUGUACAGUAGAAAAUUGACAGAACUUAAGUCUCGGUGCCCAGCCCCCACCUGAGCAUCUCAGGCUGUGGUGUCUGAGCCAGUGGUUCAGAAGAUCUGUGUCUCUCACUCUGCUUUUUGGUUCUCAGACCUGCUGCUGUGCUUUUCUCGGCAUCUUGGGGAUCCCUCCGACUCGGCUGAUCUUUCCAUUGGUCAGGUGGCUUCCCAGGGUGUGGGAUUCUUUUCUCCUUUACUGCUCCCUCUUGGGAGUGCUAGUCCUGUCCUGAUUCCUUUUCUCUCUCUCUUUUUUUCUUUUUUUCUACCCAGUUAUAUCAAGGGUUUCUUGCCCUUUUUGGAGGUUUAAGUUCUUCUGCCGGCGUUCAGUGGAUGUUCUGUGUGCGUCGUUUUACAUGUAGAUUCAUUUCUUUGAUGUGUUUGUGGGAGAAGGUGAGCACAUCCUCCUACUCAAGAAAAAAGAGUGUAUACAUGUAUGAGUAACCGGGUCACUAUGCUGUACAGUAGAAAAAAAUUAUAUUGGGGAAAGAACAAUAAAAAAUAAAAUAAGAAAAUUGACAGAACACUGUAAACCAGCUAUAAUGGAAAAAAUAAAAAAGAAUGAUGUUCUUAAAUGCAAAAAGUAAAAUACAUACUAUUUUAGAGGAAUCCUAUUAUAUUAAAACAUAUGCAAAUAUUUUUAACUUCAUAUGUUAAUACAUAAGGUGUUAGUUAAUUACCACAUUAAAUAUAAGACCCAGCAAAUGGAAUUUUUUUUUUCAUUUUCUUUUUUUUUUUUUUUCUUUUCCCACUGUACAGCAAGGGGGUCAGGUUAUCCUUACAUGUAUACAUUGCAAUUACAUUUUUUCCCCCACCCUUUCUUCUGUUGCAACAUGAGUAUCUAGACAAAGUUCUCAAUGCUAUUCAGCAGGAUCUCCUUGUAAAUUAAGUUGUGUCUGAUAAGCCCAGGCUCCCGAUCCCUCCCACUCCCUCCCCCUCCCAUCAGGCAGCCACAAGUCUCUUCUCCAAGUCCAUGAUUUUCUUUUCUGAGAUGUUCAUUUGUGCUGGAUAUUAGAUUCCAGUUAUAAGUGAUAUCAUAUGGAAUUUAAAACGUGAUAACUUCACCGUGAUGAGCAGCAUUAACAAUAUUCUGAUGGAGUUCCCAUUGUGGCGCAGCGGAAGCAAAUCUGACUGGUAUCCAUGAGGACUUGGGUUUGAUUCCUGGCCUCACUCAGUGGACUAAGGAUCCAGCAUUGCUGUGAGCUGUGGUGUGGGUCACAGACACGGCUUGGAUCCCAUGUUGCUGUGGCUGUGAUGCAGGCUCCAACUCGACCCCUAGCCUGGGAACUUCUAUAUGCUGUGGGUGUGGCCCUAAAAGCAAAAAACAAAACAAAACCCCCAUAUUUUGAAGUAUCUACUAUCAUUUCUUUUUUAAAAUUGAAGUGUCGUUGAUUUACAAUGUUUCAGAUGUACAGCAAAGUGAUUCGGUUAUAUGUAUAUACAUUACUGCAGUUUCUUAAUGUGAUAUGAAAAUAUUGAUGAUUCUAUUUUUGAAAAACUCAUGUGCACUGCUAAAAUUACUGUGCUCUGCUGUCUACAUUCAUAAUCUAAGGAAUUUCAGUUAGAGAAAAAAGAUGUAUUUUUUCCAUCUAUAUUUAGAGAUUAAGUUAUAUCCUCCGUAGUUUGGGGGACCUGAGUUCAAGAACCCCUAUAUUAAGUUAUCAGCUCCCCAGACUUCAUUUUGCAACUCAGACCCUAUGUAGCUGUUUAAUUGUUGCAAGGGCUCCCAAGGCUCAGUCUGGCGCCUUCUCUUGAAUUCAUUCAACUUUUGGCUUUUAAGCAGGCAGUUCCAUAUGGACAUGAAGACUUCUAGUCUAGAAUUAGAAAGAUUCUGAGCGGCUCUGGGAAAGAGGGUUCAGUGGAGGUGUUGGCUCUGUGGCUCCCUCAGUUUCUCUCUCUGGAGCAGAGUUUUCCCGUUGUGGUGCAGCGGAAAUGAAUCCAACUAGGAACCAUGAGGUUGCGGGUUCAAUCCCAGGCCUCGAUCAGUGGUUAAGGAUCCGGCAUUGCCAUGAGCUGUGGUGUGGGUUGCAGGUGCAGCUAGGAUCCCGUGUUGCUGUGGCUGUGGCUGUGGCCGGCAGCUGUAGCUCCAAUUCGACCCCUAGCCUGGGAACCUCCAUAUACUGUGGGUGUGGCCC
rnacentral:lncRNA from 1 species